rnacentral:rRNA from 1 species
AACGAACGCUGGCGGCAUGCCUAACACAUGCAAGUCGAACGAGACCUUCGGGUCUAGUGGCGCACGGGUGCGUAACGCGUGGGAACCUGCCCUUAGGUUCGGAAUAACUCCCCGAAAGGGGUGCUAAUACCGGAUAAUGUCUUCGGACCAAAGAUUUAUCGCCUUUGGAUGGGCCCGCGUUGGAUUAGCUAGUUGGUAGGGUAAAAGCCUACCAAGGCGAGGAUCCAUAGCUGGUCUGAGAGGAUGAUCAGCCACACUGGGAGUGAGACACGGCCCAGACUCCUGCGGGAGGCAGCAGUGGGGAAUAUUGGAAAAUGGGCGAAAGCCUGAUCCAGCAAUGCCGCGUGAGUGAUGAAGGCCUUAGGGUUGUAAAGCUCUUUUACCCGGGAUGAUAAUGACAGUACCGGGAGAAUAAGCACCGGCUAACUCCGUG